rnacentral:rRNA from 1 species
UACGUAGGCAGCGAGCGUUGUUCGGAAUUACUGGGCGUAAAGAGUGUGUAGGCGGUGCUCUAAGUUCGGUGUGAAAUCUCCCGGCUUAACUGGGAGGGUGCGCCGGAAACUGGAGUGCUCGAGCGUGGGAGAGGAAAGCGGAAUUCCUGGUGUAGCGGUGAAAUGCGUAGAUAUCAGGAGGAACACCUGCGGUGUAGACGGCUUUCUGGACCAUUUCUGACGCUGAGACACGAAAGCGUGGGUAGCAAACAGG